UACAGAGGUCUCAAGCGUUGUUCGGAUUCAUUGGGCGUAAAGGGUGCGUAGGUGGCGGGGUAAGUUGGAUGUGAAAUCCCGGGGCUCAACCCCGGAACUGCAUUCAAUACUGCCUUGCUAGAGUACUGGAGAGGAGACUGGAAUUUACGGUGUAGCAGUGAAAUGCGUAGAGAUCGUAAGGAAGACCAGUGGCGAAGGCGAAUCUCUGGACAGUUACUGACACUGAGGCACGAAGGCCAGGGGAGCAAACGGG
rnacentral:rRNA from 1 species